GUCCUUGUAGCUUAAUACUAAAGCAUAGCACUGAAGAUGCUAAGAUGGUUAUUCCCUUUUCCCAAGGACA
rnacentral:tRNA from 1 species